rnacentral:rRNA from 1 species
GAUGAAUGCUGGCGGCAUGCCUAAUACAUGCAAGUCGAGCGGUAACAUGAGUAGCUUGCUACUUGAUGACGAGCGGCGGACGGCUGAGUAACGCGUGGGAACGGACCCCAAACUGAGGGAUAACUAGUCGAAAGAUUAGCUAAUACCGCAUGUGAUCUACGGAUUAAAGUCUUCGGACGGUUUGGGACUGGCCUGCGUACGAUUAGAUAGUUGGUGAGGUAAUGGCUCACCAAGUCGACGAUCGUUAGAUGGUUUGAGAGGAUGAUCAUCCAGACUGGGACUGAGACACGGCCCAG